UCAUGUUCGGGCUUCCAAAACCAAUACUAUAGAGAAAUCAAAAUAAAAAAAAAUCCACAAAAUUAAAAUAUAAAAAAUCUACUAAUUGCAAUCAUAAUGUGCGUAUCUAUUUUAGAUAUCAUAUUUGAUACACAAACAUCGAUAUCCUCGUAAAAAAGGAUGGAGAAUUAACUUACUAUUCUCAGUGGUAUUGCAAUUUUAACAAUAGAUUUCGAUCCUAUAGAGGGAAAGGGGUAAUAUAUUUGAAUAUACUAUUUUGAAUAAAAUUACGAAUGCAAAAUAUACAUAUAUUCAAUGCAAAUAGUGUACCUAAAAUACGCACGGUAGAUACACCAAAAAUAUUGAUCGUAAAAAAAUCAACAUUACACAUUACACAUUACGAAUUGAUGUAUCUAUAAUUUUCAUAAAAUACCAUCUCUCAAAAUCUUAGAUCCUAUCGAUGUAAGUUUUAGACUGUAUCUGUAGUUUUGAACCAUUGUUUCCUCUUAUUGUCUAAUUUAUGUGCACAAAAAUAAUAUAUAAGUCAAACAUUGGAUUCUAGAGAGGAUCAGAACCCAUGCCAGGCCAAAUGCACCAAUUGAUAUUGAAACCAAUAAAGAUGAAUGCAUUGGUAAAAUUCCCUAAUGCAAAGAAUAAACCAACAAUUAUUGUGAAAAUAAAUCAAGUACAUCAAGAUUGACUUGCCUCAACAAAUAGCCACAAAAGCUGCAACUUCAUUCUUAGUGAUUAUUUAAAAGCAGAAGUUAGUGAUUGUGAUUUAAGUCACAUUUAAGUGCUUAUUUCUAAAAGUUGGGGAUGUUAGCAAAUAUUCUGGAAAAUAAACUUAAAUAGAAAAAAGUCAAAAACGGGGUUCCAGAAAACAAACAAACCGUCAAGAUACGUGGAGAAGAAACAUAUAUAUAUAGACAGAAAAAAACGGCUAUUAUGUGGUACAAAGAAAUUAAUUUUUAAAGAGAAUCAAUAAAUAAACUGAACAAAUUAGUAAAAAUUGAACAUAUAAAUAAUUAUAUAAAAUAUUUUUUUGCAAAUUUUUUAUUUAAUUAAUAAUUUUAUUCUAUAGAAAUAAACUUACUGCAAAGCCACUCCCAAUCUUUUUGUCCAUUUAUUUCUUCCACUCACCUAUGCAGUAAACAGAACAACACAAAAUAUGUAAAUAAGAUUGGAUAAACAAAAUUUUCUUUUCACCUCCAAAUAAACAAACGGCUUAAAAUUUUGAACAACUAUGGUUAAAAAAAAAAAAAAAGGCAUUCCCGCAUUAACAUAAAAAUUCAUAUAUUUUAGCAAAAAAUUGGGGUGAAAUACUGAUUUAUCGCAAAACAAACAAACGCUUAAAAAAAUGGAAUACAAACAGAAACAACAAACUUUCAUACAACCAUAGCAAUAAUCGAAGAUUUAACCAGACAAAAUAAAGUAAGAAUACUAUUUGAACUACAUACCUCCUGAUUUC
rnacentral:lncRNA from 1 species